CACUUGCUUGUUAAGACCUGUCAGCAGACUUGACUGCUGAUCAGUUGCAUUUUGUGUGUUUAUUUGGAAAACAGUAUAAUCACUGUGAGUUUAACUCUGUUACACAACAGAUGAAACACGUAUGAAUGGUUUUUCAAUGCCCCACCCAAUUGCACCCAAGGCUACUACUACCCACCCUGGAUCAUUCCAGUGCCCCCCAAAGGGUGAUAUUAUCCACUUUGGGAACCUAUGAAAGAUGAUGACUGGACCCAUGAAUUUAGAGAGAGAAGAUUGUUGGGCAUAUAGGCUUCUGAGCUAACUUCUGAGCUUAUUCUCUAAGGUUAGUCUUGCUCUUACCCCCUGGGUAGAGAAUUCAUGAAGACCUAAGAAAAAGAGGAAAAUUAAGAAGCACCAAUAGAGCAUUUGGUAUUGAUUUGUACCCUAAGAAGGAGUAAAAUGAAGUUAAAGCCCCCAAUAAGGAAUUGAUCCUUCAGGUUGUCUCCUUCAAAGCCGAUUAUUAAUGACUGUGUAUGUGGGUGAUCAACAUAGGAACAAGGAGAAUCAGUCCUCAGAGUCUCAAAUUUCUUUCUCUGAUCCGUUUUCCUUGAGAUUCCCUAUCUCUUAAAUUGCUCCCUGGUCUGUAAUCCCUGGCAGCCCAAGGUCUCUAUGACCCUUUGUUACAUCAUCACUUAAAUCACAAGAGCCAGCUAGAGAGAAAAGCCAGCUUCAGUUUCACUGGCCUAGCCAGGACCAUCCCCGGCUGGAAACAAGAAAUGAAGUACCCCCUGGUGCCGCUGGUGAAUGAUCUCACGUUUUCCUUCCUCUUUUUUUGGCUGUGCCUGCCGUUUGGUCUGCUGCUGUUGUUCAUGGUACUCUGGUUUGGUUUCCUCCUCAGGGAAGAUUCCAAGGAAAAUGAAUGUGAUGUGUCCUGUGAUUGGGAAGCCUGGGGCAAGAAACAAAGCCCACCACACUGGGACUGUUUCAUCCAAAGCAGUGCGAUUGAACCACUUGUCAGAUGACCAGACUUUACCACGUGACCUACCAUGGAACCCUGGGAAGAAACUGAGUCUUAAUCAGAAGAAUGCCUUGUGGGUUGCAGAAAUGAUGAGUGGCAUGGCCACUCAGGCUUCCUGGAUCAUCGGGAGAUGUCACUCAGCUUGUAUUUAUUAAGUGCUCACGGGGUUCAUGGCUGUGUACUCAGAAAACUUGGUGGUACAUAAUAAAGAACUAAGGUGGUCUCUGGCA
rnacentral:lncRNA from 1 species